GACGAACGCUGGCGGCGUGCCUAAUACAUGCAAGUCGAACGCAGUGGGGACGGGUGAGUAACACGUGGGUAACCUCCCAUCAGAGGGGAUAACAGUUGGAAACAGGUGCUAAACCGAUACUGAUGGAUGGACACGCGGUGCAUUAGCUAGUUGGAGGGGUAACGGCUGACCAAGGCCACGAUGCAUAGCCGCCCUGAGAGGGUGACCGUCCACACUGGGACUGUGACACGGCCCAGACUCUGACGGGAGGCGGCAGUAGGGAAUCUUGUGCAAUGGACGAAAGUCUGACCGAGCCACGCCGCGUGAGUGAAGAAGGCUUUCGGAUCGUAAAACUCUGUUGUUAGAGAAGCGGUAUCUAACCAGGAAGCCACGGCUAACUACGUGCCAGCCGCCGCGGUAAUAC
rnacentral:rRNA from 1 species